rnacentral:tRNA from 1 species
GGGGAUAUAGUUUAAUUGGUAAAACAACGAUUUUGCAUAUUGUUAUUUUAGGAUCGAGCCCUAAUAUCUCCA